rnacentral:rRNA from 1 species
AUUGAACGCUGGCGGCAUGCCUUACACAUGCAAGUCGAACGGUAACAGGUCUUCGGAUGCUGACGAGUGGCGAACGGGUGAGUAAUACAUCGGAACGUGCCCGAUCGUGGGGGAUAACGAAGCGAAAGCUUUGCUAAUACCGCAUACGAUCUACGGAUGAAAGCAGGGGACCGCAAGGCCUUGCGCGAACGGAGCGGCCGAUGGCAGAUUAGGUAGUUGGUGGGAUAAAAGCUUACCAAGCCGACGAUCUGUAGCUGGUCUGAGAGGACGACCAGCCACACUGGGACUGAGACACGGCCCAGACUCCUACGGGGGGCAGCAGUGGGGAAUUUUGGACAAUGGGCGAAAGCCUGAUCCAGCCAUGCCGCGUGCAGGAUGAAGGCCUUCGGGUUGUAAACUGCUUUUGUACGGAACGAAAAGACUCUGGUUAAUACCUGGGGUCCAUGACGGUACCGUAAGAAUAAGCACCGGCUAACUACGUGCCAGCCGCCGCUGUAAUAC